UUGGUUUGUAGUUAGCUUAUUAAUUUGUAUUAUUCAUUUUAAUUAAAUUAGUAUCAAUAAUUUAAAAAUUAGAUUGAAAUAAUUUAUUCAAUUGACUAGACCGUAAUCUGUUCUGUCAAGUUUCUUAGUUCAACCCACUAAAAUGAAUGAUGUUAAGAAUAAUUUAGAACCGUUAGAGAUAAUAGACGUUUUAAAUAUAAUAAUACUUUAACUGUUCAAGAUGAUAGAAAUUUAAAACAAAAUUUUAGAUGUAAAGAUUAAAAAGAUUAAGAUUAUUGGUCUAAAAAAAUUGGUUAAAGACCCAAAUUCGAACCCAACUAUCGUUCACAAAACUUUUUCAAAAUUGACAGGUUUGAAAAAUUCAUAUAUGACCAAAAAUUCGAAACUCAAAACCAAAUCCAAACCUGAAGAGAAAUAAUGUUUCGGGUUCGGAUUUUCGGGGUUCGGGUUAGGGGUUUGGGUUUUAGAUUUUAAGUCGGAUACAAGUGUUAAUAUGAUAUUUUAAAAUUCCUCAUAUUUGGGUUUGGGUUUGAGUUUCGGAUUUGAAAAGUCGGAUUCAGGUUCAGGUUUUUGAAAAUACAUCCCGAAUCCAACCUCUUUACAUCUCUACUAUGGAUAAAGUGGAAAGGUAGAGGGAAAAAAGAAAACAAAAAAGUAGAGAGAUUUGAUAAUACAGUAAAGAUAGAUUACUAAAUUAUUUAUGUAUUAAAAGAUUAAAAUAUUUCUCUUUGGGGUACCUGGUAAUCGGUACUUUUCUCAAAUUAAGUGACCUGCUAUUGUAUGUCAUAAUUUUUAAAAUAAUUAUCUAAGCUGUUAAAUAAAAAUAAAUAAAUGGUAUCGAAAAAAUAACAUGUAUGGAAGCACUACUCAAUUUUUUAUCUCUAGAAGUGCCCCGAGUAUGCUCCACAUUUCUUCACCUUUUCCAUUCUUGCAAAGAUUCUUACUAAAGUUACUUAGGGUGUGUUUGGUUCCACGUAAAACUGUGGAAAAAAAAUUUUCGGUGAAAAAAAAAUUUUCGGUAGGAAAAAAGUUUUACGUUGUUUUUUUUUUGUUUAUAGGAAAAAAAAAUAGUUUUCCGUGACGGUUGUUUGGUUGAAAGGAAAAAAAAAAAAAUAUUUAAUAUAUUUUUUAUUAUAUAUAUUAAUAUUAUUNAUUAAUUCUAGGAAUUUUAGAAAUCUUUUAAUUUAGGCAUUAAUUUAAAUUUUAGAAAUUUUAGAAAUAGUAAUAUUUCUAAAUAUGUUGAAUUUAAAUAUUUAAUAUUAAAUAUGUUGAAUUUAAAUUUAAAUAAGAGAAAGUUUGUAUUACUAUUUUGACAAAUUUAAUGUUGAUA
rnacentral:lncRNA from 1 species